GGGGUGCAGGUGGGUGAGGCUUGGCUACAGAGGGGAUAAAGGACUCCCCCUAGCUCUCUCUCCCUGAGCAGUACCUGGGCUGGUGAGGGGAGAGAGGGAAAGGCACCUCUCCCUGCCACAGCAGCUCUGGG